rnacentral:rRNA from 1 species
CCUACGGGCGGCAGCAGUGGGGAAUAUUGGACAAUGGGGGAAACCCUGAUGCAGCGAAGCCGCGUGAGGGAUGAAGUAUUUCGGUAUGUAAAGCUCUAUCAGCAGGGAAGAUAAUGACGGUACCUGACUCAGAAGCUCCGGCUAAAUACGUACAAGCAGCGGCGGUAAUACGUAUGGAGCAAGCGUUAUCCGGAUUUCCUGGGCGUAAAGGGGGCGCAGACGGCAGGGCAAGUCUGAUGGGAAAGGCCGGGGUUCAACCCCGGGACUGCAGUGGAAACUGUCCGGCUAGAGUGCAGGAGAGGUAAGUGGAAUGCGUAGUGUAGCGGUGAAAUGCGUAGAUAGUAGGAGGAACACCAGUGGCGAAGGCGGCUUACUGGACUGUAACUGACGUUGAGGCUCGAAAGCGUGGGUAGCAAACAGGAUUAGAUACCCGUGUAGUC